rnacentral:rRNA from 1 species
CCUACGGGAGGCUGCAGUGAGGAAUAUUGGUCAAUGGACGAGAGUCUGAACCAGCCAAGUCGCGUGAAGGAUGACUGCCCUAUGGGUUGUAAACUUCUUUUAUAAAGGAAUAAAGCGAGGCACGUGUGCCUUUUUGCAUGUACUUUAUGAAUAAGGAUCGGCUAACUCCGUGCCAGCAGCCGCGGUAAUACGGAGGAUACGAGCGUUAUCCGGAUUUAUUGGGUUUAAAGGGAGCGUAGAUGGGUUGUUAAGUCAGUUGUGAAAGUUUGCGGCUCAACCGUAAAAUUGCAAUUGAUACUGGCAGUCUUGAGUACAGUUGAGGUAGGCGGAAUUCGUGGUGUAGCGGUGAAAUGCUUAGAUAUCACGAAGAACCCCGAUUGCGAAGGCAGCUUACUAAACUGUGACUGACAUUGAUGCUCGAAAGUGUGGGGAUCAAACAGGAUUAGAUACCCGGGUAGUC